rnacentral:rRNA from 1 species
CCUACGGGACGCAGCAGUGGGGAAUAUUGGGCAAUGGGCGCAAGCCUGACCCAGCAACGCCGCGUGAAGGAAGAAGGCUUUCGGGUUGUAAACUUCUUUUAAGAGGGAAGAGCAGAAGACGGUACCUCUUGAAUAAGCCACGGCUAACUACGUGCCAGCAGCCGCGGUAAUACGUAGGUGGCAAGCGUUGUCCGGAUUUACUGGGUGUAAAGGGCGUGCAGCCGGGAGUGCAAGUCAGAUGUGAAAUCCCGCGGCUCAACCGCGGAACUGCAUUUGAAACUGUGCUUCUUGAGUGCUGGAGAGGC